GAAGGGCCCUCGCGGCUUCCCUUUGGUGUGCGCCCGCGGCUGCCACGCCAGGGGAAGCGCCUGGCCUGAUUUGUUCAACUUCGGGGGCAUUCGCUGCGCUCCGGCCUCCCUCCCGGGUCUCCCCGCCGCGCCCCUGCCCCGUCUUGCUUCCCCGGGGCUCCGGAAGGGAAGGAGGCGUGUCCGGAGCCGGCGGGAGGGACCUGUAUAAAAGUGCUGGCGGCGCGCCGGCCGGGGCUUCACUCGCCGCCUUGCGCCGGGACUGGGAUCGCUGCGGGAAAGCACGGGCCGGGGAGAGGGCGCUGCGCUCGGGCUACCCAAUGCGUGGACUAUCUGCAGCCGCUGCUCGUGCAAUAUGCUGGAGCUCCAGAACAUCUAAACGGAGUCGCCACACCGCUGCCUGGACUGGAUCACAGCGCUGCCUUUCCUUAUGAAGAAGACACAACUAUGCAAUUUUUUAAAAACCUACAGUGAAGUGUAACUUGAUUUACCUGUGCUACUUGUUUACCCAGCCUAGUAAUAAUUUGAUAUGGUGGCUUCAAUCAAAAACUGAUUCAGCUAAAUGGACCUAUACGCCAUCCACAGCACUUGGAUUGUCACUUGCAUUUAUCUUCAGCUGCUCCUAUUUAACCCUCUGGUCAAAACUAAAGGGCUCUGCAGGAACCGUGUGACUGAUGAUGUGAAAGACGUUACAAAAUUGGUGGCAAAUCUUCCAAAAGACUAUAAGAUAGCCCUCAAAUAUGUCCCCGGGAUGGAUGUUUUGCCUAGUCAUUGUUGGAUAAGCGUGAUGGUGGAACAGUUGUCAGUCAGUUUGACUGAUCUUCUGGACAAGUUUUCGAAUAUUUCUGAAGGCUUGAGUAAUUAUUCUAUCAUAGACAAACUUGUGAAAAUAGUGGAUGACCUUGUGGAGUGCAUGGAAGGACACUCAUCUGAGAAUGUAAAAAAAUCAUCUAAGAGCCCAGAACCCAGGCUUUUUACUCCUGAAGAAUUCUUUAGAAUUUUUAAUAGAUCCAUUGAUGCCUUCAAGGACUUGGAGAUGGUGGCAUCUAAAACUAGUGAAUGUGUGGUUUCUUCAACAUUAAGUCCUGAAAAAGGGAAGGCCACAAAUCCCACAGAAGACUCCAGCAUACAAUGGGCAGUCAUGGCAUUACCAGCGUGCUUUUCUCUUGUAAUCGGAUUUGCUUUUGGAGCCUUCUACUGGAAGAAGAAACAACCGAAUCUCACAAGGACAGUUGAAAAUAUACAGAUUAACGAAGAGGAUAAUGAGAUAAGUAUGCUGCAAGAAAAAGAGAGAGAGUUUCAAGAGGUGUAAUUGUGGCUUAUAUCAACACUGUUACUUUUGUGCCUUGGCGGGUAACAGUUCAUGUUUGCUUCAUAAAUGAAGCAGCUUUAAACAAAUUCAUAUUCUGUCUGGAGUAACAGACUGCAUUUUUAUCUGUUCUUGCUACCCAUGACUCUAUAUGGAUGAUUCACAAAUUGGAACAAAGUGUUUUACUGUGAAACUGGCACUGAAUUAAUCAUCUAUAAAGAAGACCUUGCAUGGAGCAGGACUCUAUUUUAAAGACCUGGGGGACUGGUGGUCUCAUUUAGAACUUGGAACUGACGUUGGGAGAGAAAGCACGUGUCCCAGAUUGCAUGCACCAUUUUGCAUGCCUCCAGAAGUGUCUAAUUGCUGAAAAGUCACAUAGCUUUAUUUUCAGUUACAACCUGCAGUUCAUAGUAAUCUUGGUCUUUGCAAGUAGAUUUCAUCCUGUAUAGUGGGGAUAAUUUUUCUGAAAUGAAUCUAGAAAAAAUGUUAAAAACAAAAACUCAACAGCAUCAGCCAGUCUACAUUUAGAAAGCAGUAGGAACAAAAUGAUUGGAGGAAGCAACAUGUCAGCCUUGUAGCUGCUAAUUAGUGGUCUGGGUCUGAUCUUGGUCUCUUCUUGACAUAAACCUAUCUCCCACUAGACAAAUGGACAUGGUUAGCUGGAUCUAUCCAUGCUUGGGAGUCAGUAUUGUAUUAGAACAAUGAUGACAUCAAUAAAAUGGGAAAAAAAAAAACCUGAAUGGGAGAAAAUAAUUGCAAGUCAUAUAUCUGAUAAGGGGCUAAUAGCUAAAUCUACCAAGAACUCCUACAAUAAUAGCAAAAAAAAAAAAAAAAAAAAAAAAAAGAAAAAAAAGAAAAAAACCUCUAACUUAAAAAUGGAAAGAUCUGAGUAGAUGUUUUUCCAAAGAAGACCUGCAAAUGGCCAACAGAGAGGAGACUCUCCAAAGGAGUUAUGGCCCAAAGAAGCCAUGAACACUGAACAGCACGGUCACUGAGGAGGACAUUUUGCACCCCUUUCCCCUACCACUUAUAGAGUGUAUAAAUUGUGCUUGCAAAAUAUAUUAUGAAAUGUUUAUAUUCUAAAACUAUUACAGAGUUAUGUAAAGGGACUUAAGAGAAAUUGCUGAAUGUAUGAAGGUCUCAUUUUCAAUUUACAUCAUGAGAGAAACUAAAAAUUAUAUUUAGUAUCUAAGAUUAGAAAACCACACCCACAUGGUAAUAUGGGUAUUGAAAAUUAGGUUACUUGGCUUUUAUAAGAAUGAAAGGAAUCAGGAAAUUUUAGCUAUUUCUCAUAUAAUCACCAUUAUCAGUUUAAGGGAUCCAUUUAUUUAAAAUCAGGCACUCUAUAUUAAUAUUUAUGAAUUUAAAAUAGCGAGCUUUAUGUAGUUAUGCAUGUCAGUUUGCUGUUUAAAAUGUGUGACAGCGUUUGUUGUAUUAACAGUGAAUUUGGUAAGAAUUCUCAAGAUGGACAUCAUGCUUUUAAACUAAAACUUGUAAGACAUUUUGUGAAUUUCCCUUGCCAUUUUUUUUUAAUAGUCGAACAUCUGACUAAAGAAAUGGUUUCUUGUGGUUUAAGAUUCUUUCAGUAGAUCAUGAACAUACAGAUGAAGGGAUCCAAAGCUUUCUAUUAUAACUUAAUUCUUGUUAUAACAUUAUUGUCAUGUUCUACCCCCUCAGAUGAUCAUUUUCAAUGUAGUGAUACAAAAGGGCAUGAAAAACUGCUAGCUUUCCUUUAUUUCAAAAGUCCAAGAAUUUCUAGUAUAGUUGGACUUCAUGUUAAAAGAGGAUCCAAAUACAACUCCAGUGAAGCGGCUUUUGCACUUUUUUGUACCAAAAAGCCCAGAUGAUUUCUACGAUCCCUUCCUUCUCUAAAGUGCUGGGCUUCCUCAGAUGGUAGUCAUUUCUCUAAGAUACAACCCAGGUGUUUUGGGAAGAUGCAUUGACUUAGGCCCUUAAAUAUCCCAUGGAUCAAACGUUUAGUAAUAAAACCAGCGAUCAGUUUAAUUGCUGAAAGGACCUGACUCUCAGUGUGUGGCUUUGAUUUUUUUGAAGAAACUAGAUAUAAGUUAGUAUGAGUUAUGUGUGUAGGUCAGGUGUAGAUUGAGAAGAUUGAUACUUCUCAAUUUAAUAGUUUAUUUCACCAAUGGUUUUGAUUUUCUUAGCCAUGAGAAAAUUCUGUUUAAUGAACUUGAGAGUACAAUAAAUGCACUUUUAUUCUCAAAGGCAGGAGCUGGGUUUUAACACUCAAGGACAUGGUCCUAAUCAAUAGAGUUAAAUAACAAAUUCAGCAAGUUAUGAAAUCUGGCAUCAUAGGCAAGGGGUGAUAUAUUCUACCUAAUUAAAUGUAUUAGUUCAUUGAGAGUUACGUGAAUUACCAAUUUUUAAAACACUAAAGUUCAAUAAAAUGCAUGAACAGUAGAAAAAGGCUGAACAUGAUUUUGGAUGCUGGCUGCUUGAGAAUUAUAUGUCAUAUCUGCUUUGAGAUGAAUGUGUGUGUACACACACAUACAUACACACACACACACACACAUUUGCUUUAUUUUAUCUGAUAUGUGUGCUGAAUAUCCUUCAGAAAUCAUGGAAAACUCACAACUGAUAUUAUCAAUCAUGAAAUCACCUUUUAAAUUGGUGCCAUGUAUCUGAUAUCUUUUGUAAUGUUCCAAAAUUGCCUUUUAAAAUGAUCUCAGAAGUCUGCAGAUCCUAAAUUAUACUAAAAGCUUUGCACCUCUUUGGUAGAACACAAGUCUAUAAAGAAACUGGCUCUGUGAUAAAUGGUGCCUGCCCAGUAAUAUCAAAGUGUUGCCGGAUUUUGUAUUAUAAUCUAACGUGCUUACCACACUGCCAUUUUUUAAUGAGUCAGAGACAAAUUUCAGUUUUUUUCAAUAUGAUAAUAGAAUAAGUACCCUAUUCUCUUUAAAAAGAAGUAUAUGAAGAAUGAAAACGUGUUUUUUAAUGUAGUGUUUGCUUUUAGUAAGAAUUAACACAUUUAAUUGAGUAUGAAAGUACUUCGGGGAAACUUUGUGGCAUAUUUUGGUAUUCUAAUUCAACUGAGGUUUGAAAUUAACAGAAAAAUCCAUUCAUGAUUUAUGAUUCAUGGAUAUCUCAAUAUUUUUCUGCAGCUAGGUUUUGGUUUCAAAAUGUAAUUCCAAUAUGGGGCUUUUAGCCAUUUCCCACGUAUUCUUAGAAAUUUUUCAAAAGACAGUUUGGCAUAAUGAGGCAGAUGUUGGAAAAAAAUUGUGAGAAACUUCUCUGCUGUUAACUGAUAUUGGUAAGUCACCUCUUUGGAUCUCCAUGUUUUAUUUAUGGUGAAGUUGGAGGUCACACCUUAGGUGUGAAACCUAUUGAUAUCUGACUGACAAAGACAACAAAAUAGAUCUGAAACUAUUCCAUAUGAGAUAUUCCAUUCUGAUCUGUGAAUAAGCAAUUUGAACACAAAAAGUCAUUGCUAUUCUUGUUUGUAAUGUAAAUAGGAUCCAUUAGUAAAAGUAAAAUUCAAUCUCCUAUAGGGUGAAUUGGGUAACCAUUUACACAAGAGAUGGCUUUUUCCUUUGCUUAAGUAAACAUUUUUGGAUCACCUCUGAAGAAUGAAAACCACGAGUGCAUUUUAGUCAGGAAGAGAUACUAUAAGAUAUGUGCAACAUUUGGAAAUGCACCAAAAUAAGCAUUUAAAUGCUGUCAUUUUAUUAAAAGCUUAGAACAGAAAUGUAAGAUGCUUAAAGUUUUUGAGUGCCAAAAAAUAAUUUAUAAUCCAUUUGGAAAGGGGUCAUCCAUAAAUUUCAUUUUAAAACUAGAAGGUGGGAUAAGAAUUUUAAAGUAAGCCAGCUUGUCUUUGAAACAGUAUUGUUUUGUAAAAUUGGCAUUAAAAUAUAAACAUUGAAAUUCUAACUAGUUAAUUUAUGAUAUUUUAUUGCACAAAUUAUGGUUUUGCUGCUUUAAGUCUGGAAAUGCCUUUGUUACAAAUAAAGUAAUGGUACUUUUAUUUCCUAACAAGAUGUUUUAGAAAUAAUUUAAAGUGGAUAUUCAUAAUCCUAAAAUGUUUCCUAAGCAUUGUAAAUUUAUAACUGCCAUCUCCAACUACAUCCUUAUGAUGUUUUUAAAAAUAAAAUUGUUUUAAAAACAUAGUAUUUUCAACUACUUGAUUUCUCAGCUAUAAGGCUCAAAAUUUUUCAAUAAAAUCCUAUAUUCUAAGGAUUAAUGUGUGAUUAUAGUGUCCAUUUGUCGCUAUUUUUUAAAUUGAUGGACUUGAAAAGUAUUCAAACAUUUAGAUGGAUGCAUAGAUACAUUGCUAGUUCAUUCAUAGAUUGGAGUUUGCAUAUUGUAAUGUAAAUGUAUGUCAACACUAUUCUAGUUUAUUAUGACUGAAGUGUAAUUAAAUAAAAAACGUUGUAAAAUGUGAUGUGUAUGUGUAUAUACUAUAUGUGUACUUUUUAAACUAGGUAUAUGUCCUGACCCUUUUUUAUACAGGUUUGAAUUUGAAAUUACAUUAUAUAUAUACAUAUACUUUAUUGUUCUAAAUAAAGAAUUUUAUGCACUCUCA